AGCGAACGCUAGCGGCGGGCCUAACACAUGCAAGUCGAGCGGGGAGCAAUCCCCAGCGGCGGACGGGUGAGUAACACGUAGGUUAUGUGCCCUUUGGUGGGGAAUAACCGUGGGAAACCAUGGCUAAUUCCGCAUAUCGAGCGAAAUCUUGAAAGCCUUCGGGCGCCAAAGGAGCAACCUGCGGCCCAUUAGCUUGUUGGUAGGGUAACGGCCUACCAAGGCGAUGAUGGGUAGCUGGUCUGAGAGGAUGAUCAGCCACACUGGAACUGAGACACGGUCCAGACUCCUACGGAGGCAGCAGUGGGGAAUAUUGCGCAAUGGGCGAAAGCCUGACGCAGCCACGCCGCGUGAGUGAUGAAGGCC
rnacentral:rRNA from 1 species